UGCUUUAGUCAUUUUCUAAUCCUUCUGUUGAGUAAGAGAAAUGUUAAGAUCGGAAAUCUAAAUCUAGAGUUAAAAUAUUUUAACAAGUUUUCCAAUUUACAAAGGGUCUGAGAAAUUGUUUGGAUCUAAUCACAAAAUAAAGUUCCGGAACCUAAGUAGAUUUGACCAAGUCUAAGUCGGCUUAACCACUGUACUAUAAAAUAAAGGUUUAUUUAUAUUAGAACGCCAACAUAUUUUGGAGGUGGAGCUAGUGACGUCGGCAAAGGUCACAAAGCUGCAGCCAAUCAGGAGCGAGUCUAAAUUUAGAUGCGCUGCGCUAGUGCGUGCUACAAACGUGAUACUGAAAUGUCACAACUAGGUCAAGUAAUGACCUAGAUCUAUUUUUUUUUUUUCGUUCAGCAGUUGCACUAAGUAGAUGGAGCGUAACUCUGCACCGCAAAUAAAUAUAGCCUACACCUACCCAAUAAAUCUUUCUAAGGACUGAUCACAUUGCCUAGCUAGAAUAAUUUCUAAUUGAGUUGAAAUAAAUAAUCUUGACGAGUAAAUGAAUGAUCUCCAAAAUUCAAAACUUUUAAUAUAGACUAGUUUUAUCAUACUAAUACUGAUAGAUCUAGUCUAAUAUUCAUACUGCUGCAUACUCAUGAAACUUACUGUACACAAGAAUAAGCCUACAAAAAAAGUAACACGAUUAGGUAUAGAUUCCCUAAAUCUUGACUCUAUGGUCUAUAUCCAUAGAUUAGACUUUAGACUCUUAGAUCUAAACAUCGAAUCUAGAUAUAUCUAUCAUCUAGACUUAUUUAGAUCUAGAAUAAUAUAGUUCUAUGAUUCUAUCUGACUUAACGUUUACUGUAGACAGUAGUCAGUGUGUGUAGUCUUUUGGUAAACUAAAACUCUCUAAACUUUAUGAUUAUUUUUCACAACAGACAGUAUAACAGUUAACACAUCAGCUUUAUUCUUUAACUAAAAACUUUGAAUAAUAAAUGAUAGAAUCUACAAGUCUAAUCUAGAAAUAUUCUAACAUUUUAAUAUAACAUAAUACUUACCCUUGCCAAAUUAAUCCAAGUAAG